AUCCUUCUCUCUUCUUCUCUGAGGCCUGACCUCUCUUCUCCCCCUUCUCCAUUCGACCCACACACACACAGAUCUCCCCCUUCUCCCACUCUCUCGAUCCUUCGCCCACUCUCUCGAUCCUUCGCUGCCGUUGAUCGUGGCUCUGGCGAAGUCGGACUUGGCUCAGUCGUCUCUGGUGGUGCGCCGCUGAGCAAGGAGUUGGCCCAGUCAUCGAUUUUUCAGGUUUUUGGGACGAAAUGGGCUCGGGAAUAGGCACACCAUCUCCGGCGUUCUUCUCCGGCGUUCGAUAUCGGAGGCCGAUUGCACCGUUCAACAAAAUAUCUCGAUAUUUGGACGAAAACCACACGGAUACCUAUUUAAAUAUCCAUUCCCCGAAAAAUCGAUAUUAUCGGCGAUAUUUCGCCGAUAAUAUCGAUAUUUAAAUCCAUGAUGAUAGAUAAUAGAUUGCUGAUUGACUCCUUAUAUGGAAUGAUCGAUUAAUUGUCACACACAUAUUUAACAAUAACUCAUUAAAUUCACCAAAAAAAAGUCCGCAUGUAUUAUUAACAUUGAUGUUUGAUUUGUUUGCAAGAAGAAACAACCCAUUUCAUUACAAGCUAUCUUUUGAAAUAUGGGUACUAAAUCCAGAAUUUCUAGUCAUUUGAUGUGUACUUUAAUUCAAAUUCAAUUUUUUUUAA